CGGCGGGUGGUGCGGCGUUCGUGGGCCUCGCGGGCCUUCUCGUACUCCUCGCGGUGCAGCUUCCCGCCCGGCGCC
rnacentral:tRNA from 1 species